AUUGAACGCUGGCGGCAUGCUUUACACACGCAAGUCGAACGGCAGCGCGGGCUUCGGCCUGGCGGCGAGUGGCGAACGGGUGAGUAAUACAUCGGAACGUGCCCAGUAGUGGGGGAUAGCUCGUCGAAAGCCGGAUUAAUACCGCAUACGACCUGAGGGUGAAAGCGGGGGAUCUUCGGACCUCGCGCUAUUGGAGCGGCCGAUGGCAGAUUAGCUAGUUGGUGGGGUAAAGGCCUACCAAGGCGACGAUCUGUAGCUGGUCUGAGAGGACGACCAGCCACACUGGGACUGAGACACGGCCCAGACUCCUACGGGAGGCAGCAGUGGGGAAUUUUGGACAAUGGGCGAAAGCCUGAUCCAGCAAUGCCGCGUGUGUGAUGAAGGCCUUCGGGUUGUAAAGCACUUUUGGCGGGAACGAAAAGGACUGUGCCAAUACCACGGUUCGAUGACGGUACCCGCAGAAUAAGCACCGGCUAACUACGUG
rnacentral:rRNA from 1 species